AGUCGUAACAAGGUAACCGUAGGUGAACCUGCGGUUGGAUCAUUAAUGAUUUUAUGAAUUUUUUCUUAGGAGGAAAUUCAAAUAAAAGAGUAGCUUUAUUGCUACUUGAACCCAUUUGUGAAUUGUUUUAGUCAUUGGUCAAACUAUUUUAGUACUUUGGUACUAAAGAAAUUUGGCCAGUCAAGUAGAAACUUAGUUUUAAUUUUGUUUAUCAUUCUUAAAAAAAAUGAAACAACUUUUGACAACGGAUCUCUUGGCUCUC
rnacentral:misc_RNA from 1 species